UCCAGACUCCUACGGGAGGCAGCAGUGGGGGAUAUUGCACAAUGGGGGGAACCCUGAUGCAGCGACGCCGCGUGGGUGAAGGAGCGUUUCGGCGCGUAAAGCCCUAUCGGCAGGGAAGAAGGAGGACGGUACCUGACUAAGAAGCCCCGGCUAACUACGUGCCAGCAGCCGCGGUAAUACGUAGGGGGCAAGCGUUAUCCGGAUUUACUGGGUGUAAAGGGGGCGCAGUCGGCAGCGCAAGCCAGGAGUGAAAGCCCGGGGCCCAACCCCGGGACUGCUCUUGGAACUGCGCGGCUGGAGUGCAGGAGGGGCAGGCGGAAUUCCUGGUGUAGCGGUGAAAUGCGUAGAUAUCAGGAGGAACACCGGUGGCGAAGGCGGCCUGCUGGACUGCGACUGACGUUGAGGCCCGAAAGCGUGGGGAGCAAACAGGAUUAGAUACCCUAGUA
rnacentral:rRNA from 1 species